rnacentral:tRNA from 1 species
GGGUGAUUAGCUCAGCUGGUUAGAGCGCCAGUCUCACAUACUGGAGGCCAGUGGUUCGAAUCCACUAUCACCCACCA